ACCUUAAUAGCUUAGUGUUAGAGCAUUUGGUGAAUAUUGUGUGUUAAGUAACCAAGAGGCUAGGGUUCGAAUCCCUAUUGAGGUU
rnacentral:tRNA from 1 species